GAGUGUGGGGCUUUUCACUCAGAUGCUGUUGGGAAACUCAGAGGAUGAUGAUGGAGGGGCUCCUGGACUGGUGCCUGGGAGGUUUCCUCCCUCACCACUACAUUUGUGUCCCUCUUGAAGCUAAUGCAUUCCGUCAAAGAGGACAACCAUUUCCAAUAGAGGAGGACUGUUUCCUCAGUCAAGGGUAUAUGAGUCAAGCGCUCCCCUGCUAGAACCUCCAAAGAAGUUCUCAAAAUAGGUUAUUGUAUCCCUAGAAUGCAUUAUUCCUUUCUGCAUAGUAAAGUAAAGGCCAACUGCUUUUGAAACCUU
rfam:Heterocephalus glaber contig151191, whole genome shotgun sequence.